GUUCGNGCUCAGUUGGAUAGAGCAACGGCCUUCUAAGCCGUGGGUCGCAGGUUCGAAUCCUGCAGGGCGCGCCA
rnacentral:tRNA from 1 species